rnacentral:rRNA from 1 species
UACGGAAGGCAGCAGUGGGGAAUAUUGCACAAUGGGCGCAAGCCUGAUGCAGCCAUGCCGCGUGUAUGAAGAAGGCCUUCGGGUUGUAAAGUACUUUCAGCGGGGAGGAAGGCGAUGUGGUUAAUAACCGCGUCGAUUGACGUUACCCGCAGAAGAAGCACCGGCUAACUCCGUGCCAGCAGCCGCGGUAAUACGGAGGGUGCAAGCGUUAAUCGGAAUUACUGGGCGUAAAGCGCACGCAGGCGGUCUGUUAAGUCAGAUGUGAAAUCCCCGGGCUUAACCUGGGAACUGCAUUUGAAACUGGCAGGCUUGAGUCUCGUAGAGGGGGUAGAAGUUCCAGGUGUAGCGGUGAAAUGCGUAGAGAUCUGGAGGAAUACCGGUGGCGAAGGCGGCCCCUGGGACGAAGACUGACGCUCAGGUGCGAAAGCGUGGGGAGCAAACGAGGAUUAGGAUACC